rnacentral:rRNA from 1 species
UACGUAGGUGGCAAGCGUUGUCCGGAAUUAUUGGGCGUAAAGCGCGCGCAGGCGGUCCUUUAAGUCUGAUGUGAAAGCCCACGGCUCAACCGUGGAGGGUCAUUGGAAACUGGGGGACUUGAGUGCAGGAGAGAAGAGUGGAAUUCCACGUGUAGCGGUGAAAUGCGUAGAGAUGUGGAGGAACACCAGUGGCGAAGGCGGCUCUCUGGACCGAGACUGACGCUGAGGCGCGAAAGCGUGGGGAGCAAACGGG